rnacentral:rRNA from 1 species
GGCCGCAAGGUCCCUAAAGGUCACUUGGAGACUACGAGUUUGAUAGGCCGGAUGUGUAAGUCCAGUAAUGGAUUAAGCUUACCGGUACUAAUUGACCGUGAGGCUUGACCAUAAUAAUAUCUAAGCGUUUGGG